rnacentral:piRNA from 1 species
UACUGUGCUCUAAGGGGUCUGGGGUGA